rnacentral:rRNA from 1 species
AUUGAACGCUGGCGGAAUGCUUUACACAUGCAAGUCGAACGGCAGCACGGACUUCGGUCUGGUGGCGAGUGGCGAACGGGUGAGUAAUGUAUCGGAACGUGCCCAGUCGUGGGGGAUAACGUAGUGAAAAUUACGCUAAUACCGCAUACGAUCUAUGGAUGAAAGCGGGGGAUCGCAAGACCUCGCGCGAUUGGAGCGGCCGAUAUCAGAUUAGGUAGUUGGUGGGGUAAAGGCCCACCAAGCCAACGAUGUGUAGCUGGUCUGAGAGGACGACCAGCCACACUGGAGCUGAGACACGGUCCAGACUCCUACGGGAGGCAGCAGUGGGGAAUUUUGGACAAUGGGCGAAAGCCUGAUCCAGUCAUUCCGCGUGCAGGAUGAAGGCCCUCGGGUUGUAAACUGCUUUUGUACAGAACGAAAAGGUUUCUACUAAUACUAGGAGCUCAUGACGGUACUGUAAGAAUAAGCACCGGCUAACUACGUGCCAGCCGCCGCAGUAA